CUGCUUGUGUCAGCAGCACAAAUACCAAAAUUGGAAUGAUACAGAGAUGAACAAAUGAUUAGCAUGGCCUCUGUGCAAGGAUUGCACAUAAAAUGAUACCAUACACAUGAUU